rnacentral:rRNA from 1 species
GACGAACGCUGGCGGCGUGCUUAACACAUGCAAGUCGAACGAUGAAGAAGAGACACGCGAACUUCGGUUCAAAUUUCACUUCGGAUUAGUGGCAGACGGGUGAGUAACGCGUGAGCAACCUACCUCUUACAAAGGGAUAGCCUCGGGAAACCGUGAUUAAUACCAUAUGACACAUUCAUAAGGCAUCUUAAGAAUGUUAAAGCUACGGUGGUAAGAGAUGGGCUCGCGUCCCAUUAGCUAGUUGGUGAGGUAACGGCCCACCAAGGCGACGAUGGGUAACCGGCCUGAGAGGGUGAACGGUCACAUUGGAACUGAGACACGGUCCAAACUCCUACGGGAGGCAGCAGUGGGGAAUAUUGCACAAUGGAGGGAACUCUGAUGCAGCGACGCCGCGUGAGCGAUGAAGGAAUUCGUUUCGUAAAGCUCUGUUCUAUGGGAAGAAAAGGACUGUACCAUAGGAGAAAGCCCCGGCUAAAUACGUG